AAUUUUUGAACAAGGAAAAUUUAUUUUUGAGACUGAAGUUGAUUUUUCAUUUUGAGUAGGUACAAUCUACCUUAUGAAAGCGAAAAUAAAUCGAUCUUCAGAGUUCGAUUAUUCGAUUUUUAUUCAUACCUAAUCAAUUUUUAACCGGAAAAUUCAUGACGUGAUGGAGGAUGGAAUGAAUUUCAUACUACGAACAUAAUCGAUCGCAUGGAAUCUGAAAUCGAAAUAAAUCGAUUUUUAGAGUUCAAUUAAUCGAUUUUCAAUCUUGAUCAAUUUUUGAACAGAGAAAAUUAAUUUUUGCGACUGCCGUUGAUUUUUUAUUUCGAGUAUGAUUCGAUCAAGUAACUUAUGAAAUCUAAAAUUUAAAAAAAUCGAUUUUCAGAGUUCGAUUAUUCGAUUUCUAUUCGUAAUCAAUUUUUUGACCGGAAAAUUUAUGAUGAUUGAGGAUGGAAUGAAAUUCAUACUCCGAACAUGAUCGAUCGUACGGAGUCGAAAAUCGAAAAAAAUCGAUUUCUAGAGUUCGAUUAAUCGAUUUUCAACCUUGAUCAACUUAUGAUCAGGGAAAAUUCAUUUUUGAGACUGAAAUUGGUUUUUCAUUUCGAGUAUAAUCCAACUGAUGAAAUUGAAAAUCGAAAAAAAAUCGAUUUUUAGAGUUCGAUUAUUCGAUUUCGAUUCGUAAUCAAUUUUCAAUCGGAAAAUUCAUGAUGAUGAUAGAGGCUGGAAUAAAUUUCGUACUACAAAGUACAAACAUGAUCGAUCAUAGAAUCGAAAAUCGAAAUAAAUCAAUUUCUAGAGUUCGAUUAAUCGAUUUUCAACCACGAACAAAAAAAAAAAAAAAAAAGAACAACGUAAGGAAAAUUUAUUUUUGAGACUGAAAUUGAUUUUUCAUUUCGAGUACAAUCCAACUGAUGAAAUCGAAAAUCGAAAAAAAUCGAUUUUCAGUGUUCGAUUAUUCGAUUUCCAUUCAUAAUCAAUUUUUGACCGGAAAAUUCAUGAUGAUUAUUGAGGAUGGAAUGAAUUUCGUAUUCCGGACAUGAUCGAUCACAUGGAAUCGAAAAUCGAAACAAAUCGAUUUCUAGAAUUCGAUUAAUCGAUUUUUAUUCACGGUCAAUUUUUGACAGGAAAAUUAAUGGUGAUUGAGGCUGGAAUGAAUUUCAUACUCCGAAUAUGACCGAUCAUAUGGAAUCGAAAAUCGAAACAAAUCGAUCAUUUAUGGGAAUCGAAAAUCGAAAACAAAAUCGAUUUUCAACGUUCGAUUAGUCGAUUUUCAAACAUCAUGAUCAAUUUUUGAUAAGAAAAUACCUAAUUCAUUUCUCAGACUAACAUUAGUCUAUUUCAAUUUCGAACAUGAUCGAUCACAUGAAAUAUUCCUGGUUCUUCCCCUUCCCCCGCCCCUUCAACCUCAUGGAAAAAUCCUGUCCACAUUACCGCCUCUCAAGCCUUAGCUAAAGCAAAAUGUUUGUUUAUAAAAAAUAUAAGAUGACCAAUUUUUUUCUUUCUUUGAAUCCCCAUACCUAUUUAUAUCAUUUCGUCAUUCAAAGCACCUACGAAAAUAACCCCCCCCUCCCCUUCGCACAUUAAUAAACGUUGAAAAGCACAAAAAACAUUCCAUUUGUGCGAUCAAAGCAAACAGUCGGUUAUUAUUUUAGCAUUUCGUAGGCAUUCACGUCAAUCGUCAUCAUCAUUUAUGCGAUAGGCAGACAUCAUCGACAUUUAAAAUUAAAAUUCAUUCAACGAACUAUCGAUUUCAAUAACGAUGCGUCUCACACGCAUAUCAUACCUAUUUUUAAAAAGAAACACCGGUAGGUAAUGAAGUUGAAAAAAACUCUACGAAAUGAUAAGGAGUAUUAUCAGUGCAGACAAGGUUACCUAUGUAUGUACAUAAAAUCGUCGCGUUUACUUAUUCAAUCGCCGGACAAAUUUCAUACAAAGCAAAAUGUAAUUCCAUAAAAUAAACCUCAAAUGAAGUGAAAAAGUACUAGUUUUUUUAAUUUAAUAAACUCAACACCACAUAAAUAGGUUCUCGUAUAAUAUCAAUACUACGAACAGUAAUAUGGAAAACAGCCCAUCCAUCAUCGCCCAUAUACUUCUGAUCGUAUUCUACACUCUCUGCGCUCUAUCCACAAUCUGCGUAGUCGCUCAUUUAUACAAAUUUUACAAAACAAAAGGUCCGCAGAGUCUUCCAACAAAGAACCUCUCUUUCUACUGUUUCAUCUUACUGCUGAUCUACAUCGUCGAAUUCGCGUACAUCGUAUCAACCAAAAGCCACUUCCAAGACUUGGCCGAUCAUCCGUACAUCAUUCUUUUAUACCUGAUGGUGACUACGACCGUGGUAAAACUCAUCAUAGCCAUAGAUCUAUGCUACUGUUUUCGCAAAAUGUCUCUCUAUCUGCAAAGACCCUCUUCGAGCACUCAGAAUAAGAGAUUCAUCCUCUACAGCCUUCUUGGAACGUGUCCUCCUAUGUUUUAUAUUCUAAUUUGGUUCAUACUAUCAAAAGGAGGAAAACAAAUGACGUCUUUUGAACCGUGCAUGAUCAUGAGGAUUAUCAGAAUGGCUCGUUUGGUUUUGGUUUUCGUUGCUUUUUGGUAUCUUAGAACUUCUAGCAUCGAUAAAAAAGAACUACGGACUAAGUUCGGUUUGCAUAUGCGGCUUCUUGUAAUGCUGGGUGGAUUCUCGGCCCUCAUAAGCAUCGCAGAAGUAAUUUUAAUCUAUGUUCAACCUGUCGAUAUACUCGUAUCGAGUAGUGGGGAUACGAGUAAUUCCAACCGAAUGGAAUAUUGGUUUUAUUUCGUGCACGUAUUCGGGAAUAUUUUGGAAGGUAUUUUUAUAGCUGUAUUUUUCACGUUUAGAAAAAAUACAUUCAAGUUGAAAGAUACUCAUCCGAGUCCGCAAACCAGUGUUGAUAAUUCGUAGAAAUGACAUCGCGGUUCGAAAAUAAUGCUCGUGAGCACGGCAAGGAUAUUUUUUCUGUAAAAAUGCCCCAAACAUGGGUUUGGAAUUCCCUAAAAAACGAGGCUCAAUGCAACACUUGGACAUGUUCACAGAAUGUAAAAAUUACCUUCGAUUCUCGAAAAUUACACGAAAAAAAGUUAAAAAGCUAAAAUACAGUAUAAAAAUCUGAAGGAAAAUUCCUAAAAAUGAGACAAAUUUAUUAAAGUAAUUUUGGAAAAGAUCGAGAAUUUUAAGAAAAUUUUGAGGGAAAAAAGUUAUUUUUUUCGAAUUUUUCUGUCAUGAAAGUGAGACUCUUCUCUUCUCCAACUUUAUGGAAAAAAAGGAAACUUUUCGACGAUUAUUUUUUCCAAAAAAGCGAGACUUUUUGGAAUUUUUUUUGAAAAAAAAGGUGACAAUUUGUCAGCAUACUUUGGACAAGAAACGACACUUUUUUGAGAAUUUUGACAAAAAUCGAGAUUUUUUGGUAUUUUUGGCAGAGAACAAGAUUUUGAAAAUUUUAGAAAAAGGCAGAGCUUUCAGCUUUGCAAAAAUAACGCCAUUUUUUCAAAAAAUCAGAAUAAGGUUUCAGAUAAAUUAUAUUUUCAAACAAAGUAACUUUAGUAAUCAGAAAAGCUCAAAAAAUAUAAAAAAAUGCGAGCAAAACGUUCCAACGCAAAUAGAAAAAGCCCCCCCUACCCAAAAAAAAACAACAUUUGUGAUUCUAAUUUCAAAAGGUAGAACUAUUUUGCAACUUUUUAGCAAUUUUUAAAAACAAGCAAGACUUGAACAAUUUUUAGAAAAAACUGAGUCUUGAAAUUUUUCACAAAAAUUGACAAUUUUUAGGAGGCAAAAAUUUCAAAAAAAAUUGAAUUAAAAAAAAGUAAUUUUGGUAACCAACAAAAUCUUGAAAAAGAAACCAAAAAAGAGAAAAAACGAGAGCGAAAUAUUUUAAUUGGCCAUCAACGACCUUCAGUUUUGUAUUUUUCGGUCGUUUUGAUCGACUGCUUAUUUAUUUUAUAGGUCAUUCAUGUUUUUCUGACCGUUCUACUGUCAAUAAUAUUUGUAAAUAAACAUAUUAAAAAGUUCGUUAACCUUUGAGUUGAUUUUUUCGUAAAUGUCUCCAACUUUCAAUUCGUUAUUUUUACAUUUUACAUAUUGAAAUCGUUACACUUUAGAAUAAUUUUCACAGAAAGGGAGUCUUUUCGAAAAUUUUUGCAAAAAAACGACAAUUUUCAGCGAUUUGUUUAAAAAACAAAAAUUUUUGUCAAUUUUUGAAGAAGCGAGAAUUUUUGACAUUUUUUGGCAAAAGCAAUACUGAUUCAUUAAUUUCAGAAAAAAGUAGCACUUUCAGAGAAAUAUUGAUAAAUGAUAACAAAGUGAUGGUUUAGUUUUUGGCGAUUCCUGGCAAAAAAGCGAGGCUUUUGGAGUAAUUGUAAAAAAAAAAAAAAAAAAAUAGAAAAAUAGAAACAAAAAUUUAGAAAUUUUUCCAAGAAGCGAGAAUUUUUGGGCAAAAAUGCAAAUCGUUUACAACUUUAUGGAAAUUGGUCGCAAAAAAUAAUACUUUUUUGCAAUUUUUUGCUUUUCUAAAAAAAAACAAAAUAGACUUUUGGAUGAUUAAAAAAGAAAUUCUGCUAAAGUGCGAGAAUUUUUGUAGCAAAAAAAGAAAGCUCGUAUUUAAUUUUUUUCAAUUAAAAAAAAAUAACUGGAGCAAUCAAAAGUUGAAUAAAGUAGGUAACAAAAAAGUAGCCAAAAAAGUUGUAAAUGAAUUAGAACAAUUUUCAAUGAACAAAAAAAAAUCACAAAAAAGAACAGAACACUUCGUUUGAAAAUUUUUUUUCAAAUUAGGAAACAAUAAACAUUUUGAUCUAAUAAUGAAAUUCGAUCCAAAUUCGGACAAUUUUAGCAGAAAUCAGGACUUUUUGGCAACUUACCAGUAAAAAAAUGAAAAAAUUAUGACAUUUUCCAAAUUUUUGUCAGAAAAGUGAGACUUUAAAUGGAAACUUUUUGGUAAAAAGUAAAGACAGACUUUUUGGAAAUUUUUGAAACCAAAGUGAAAAUUAUUGGCACAAAAGCGAGCAAAUUUUGGCACAAAAGUGAGCAACUCUUUGCACAAAAGUAAGCAAUUUUUGGCACAAUAAUGAGUCAAUUUUUGGCACAAGAGUAGUCAAUUUUUGGCACAAAAGUAAUCAUUUUUUGGCACAACAGUAAUCCAUUUUUGGCACAACAGUAAUCAAUUUUUGGCACAAAAGUAAUCAAUUUUUGCUACAACAGUUAUCAAUUUUUGGCACAAAAAUAAGCAAUUCUUAUCACAAAAGCGAUCAAUUUUUUUUCAAAAAAAGUGAGCAAGUUUUGGCACAAAAAUGAGUCAAUUACUGGCACAAGAGUAAUCAAGUUUUGGUACAAAAGUAAUCAAUUUUUGGCACAAAAAUGAUUGAUUUUGGCACAACAGUAAUCCACUUUUGGCACAAAAAUGAUCACAUUUUGGCACAAAAGUGAGUAAUUUUGACACAGCAAUAAUACAUUUUCGGCACAUCAAUAUUACAUUUUCGGCACAACAAUAAUCCAUUUUCGGCACAACAGUAAUCCAUUUUUGACACAAAAAUGAUUAAAUUUUGGCACAAAAAUGAGUAAUUUUAGAUACAAAAGUAUUCAAUUUUUGGCACAAAAUGAGCAAUUUUUGGCACAAAAUGAGCAAUUUUUGGCACAAAAGCCAGCACUUUUGGCACAACAGUGAAAGUUUUUGACAAUUUGUGGCACAAAAAUGUUCAUUACUUUUGCAAAAAAAUUAGCAAAUUUUGGCACAAAAGUGAGCAAAUUUUGGCACAAAAAUUAGUCAAUUUUUUGGCACAACAAUGAGUCAAUUUUUUGGCACAACGAGUCAAUUUUCGGCACAAAAAUUAGUCAAUUUUUGGCACAACAACGAGCCAAUUUUCGGCACAAAAACUAGUCAAUUUUUGGCACAAGAGUAAUCCAUUUUUUGGCACAACAGUAAUCCAUUUUUGGCACAAAAAUGAUCAAAUUUUGUCACAAAAGUGAGUAAUUUUGGCACAGCAGUAAUCCGUUUUUGGCAAAAAAUGAGUAAUUUUUGAUUCAAAAGUAAUCAAUUUUUUGGCACAAAAGUGCUCAAUUUUUGGCACAAAAGCCAGCACUUUUGCACAAAAGCAAGCAAUUUUUGGCACAACAGUGAUAGUUUUUGGCAAUUUGUGGCACAAAAUCUCAAGAGUUUGACAAUUUUGGCAAAAAAAAAUAGAUUUUUCUGUCAGUUCUCAGUAAAAAUAUAGAUUUUUAUGCAGUUCUUGAAAAAAGUUUGAUACUUUGGAAUUUUCUUGCAAAAAAUACGUCAAUCUUUAAUAAUUUAUGGCAAAAAAAAACAGAAGUUUUUCAACAAUUUUCAGCAAGCUUCAGUAACCAAAAAUGUUACACUUUCAUCAGAAUACUUCAAGGUAAAAAAAAAUUAACAAAAAAGCCAACAUUCAAAUUUUUACCAAAUAAGUGUGACUAAUUUGCAACUUUUCGGUAAUGAAACAAGAGUUUUUGGCAAAUUAUGGCAUAAAAAAAAGAGAACGUUUGGAAAUUUCUGGCAAAAAAGCAUAUAUCUUGAAAAUGUUAGGAAAAGCAAAGCUUUUUUCGAGCAAUUGUUGGCAAAAAGUGCCACUUUCACAAAACAAUUUAUGGGGGGGGGGGUCCGUGUGGUGGAUAAAUUUUUUUGGAAUUUUUAGCGAAAAAGGCGAAACUUUUGAGUAAUUUUUGCCAAAAAAAAAGAACUUUUCAGCAAUUCCUAAUGAAAAAAAUGAGAUGGAGGUUUCGGAAAUUUUUUAGGUAAAAAAGCAUAAUUUCGACCAACAAAUUUAAAUCAAAAUUAUUGCAUAAUUCUUCUGACAAUAAGGCUGAAAAAUUAAUCAUUCACACUCAAAUUCUAAAAACAUUUCGUAGACGUGGAGUAACCCAUUAAAUUAGUAUUUUUUGAUCGUCACAUCGUCAUAUGCCAUAGUCAGACAUCAUCGAUUAUGCAAUUAAAAUUCAUUUUGCGAUCCAACGAUUGCAGGCAUUCCAAAUGCAUUUUUAAGGGAGCCCCCCGCCCCGCAACAAUUGAGUUGGAAAAUCUGCGAAAUGAUGAGUAAUAUUUAAUCGAUGUAUUGUUAUGGGAAACUUUCACGUCUUAUUAUUCACUCGCUAGACAAAUUUGAUUCCAAGCACAACGUAUAUUCAAUUAUUCCAUCGAGUGAACGUUCAACAAAGUGAAAAAAGAACUUUUCUCGAACAAACAUUCGACACCAAAUCGGUACUCGUAGAUAUACUCGUAAAUUCAGCAAACAACAUUAUGGAAAACAUCGAAUCAAUUUUCGCUGCUGUGCUUCUAUUCCUAUUCUAUACCUUCGGCAUAAUAUCUAUAAUUUGCGUAAUCGUUCAUUUGUAUAUAUUUUACAAAACAAACAGCCCGCAGAGUCUUCCAACGAAAAACCUCACCUUCUACUGCGUUUUGCUGUUAAUAACCUACAUCGCCGAAUUUGCACGUAUUGUAAUUACCCAAACGGAUCUCAGCAAUGAUUUAGCCUAUCCAAUGUACGUUUUUCUAUUAAACUUGAUGGUGACGACGACGCUGGUAAAACUCAUAAUUGCGAUAGAUCUAUGCGUGUGUUUUCGCAAUAUAAAUCGCUAUUUGCGAAGACCCGCUUCGGGUACUCGGAAUAAAAAAUUCAUCUUGUAUUGUCUUCUUGGGACUGGCAUUCCGAUAUUGUACACUUCAAUUUGGCUGAUAUUUUCCAAAGGAGGACACGAAACCACAUCUUUCGAACCACAUUUAAUUAUGAGGAUUAUUCGAAUCGUUCGUUUAGUCUUAAUCGUGGUUUCAUUUUGGUAUCUUAGAAUCUCCAGCAUGAAUAGAACGGAAUUAUGGUCAAAUUACGGUUUACAUAUGCGUCUGCUUAUGAUGCUGGGUGGAUUCUCGGCCUUUAUUAGCAUCGCUGAGGUAGUGUUGCUCUACGGUCUAAUUCCAAUCGUGGAUGAUAAAUCGGGUAACGGGGAGAAAAGUUCCGAGGAUAUUGAAUAUUACUUUGAUUACGUGUAUUUUUUCGGUAAUGUUCUGGAGGGUGUUUUUAUCGCUGUGUUAUUCACAUUUAGAAAAAAAACAUUCAAGUUUAGUGGUAUUCCAAGCACACAGACCAGUAUCUCGAUUACUCGUUAAGAUGACUCGAACUAAAAUAUCUUAUAUUCUAUAGAUUUUCAUUAAUUAAUCUAGUCACGUGAAAACUGUGAAAAUUUUAUUUUUGAGCACAGGGGGUAAACUCUCGUUGAAAAAAGAUCUUCCUAGACUUCAUCUUUUUUUCAAACGUCCUUACUCGAUAUUAAUUAUUCCGUGAAAAAAAAUUAGAAAAUCUUACGAGGAUUUCAAUUUUUUUUUUAGGGUCAUUAGCUAGCGCAAAAAUGUCAAUAUUAAAAAGGAUCAUUUAGAAAAAUUUUGACCAGAGAUAAUUUUCAAAAAAAUUUUACGGACUUCAAUUCUUUGCUUACACGACUUAAAUUCCAAAAGGAGGGCUAAAAUUUUCAGAGUUGAAAAAAAAUAGAAACCAGCAACUUGAGAGGUAUUAAGAGCAAAAAAACAUUGUGAAAAACUAAAUGGUCAAAAUGUGUCAUUUUUCGGUCAAAAUUGUCAAAAAAGUGCUAAUUUCUGUCAAAAUAGCCAAGAAGUGUCAAUUUUUGUCGAAAUAUUCAAAAGUCACAUUUUUGUCGAAAAAUUCAAAAGUCCCAUUUUUGUCAAAAUUGUCAAAAUGUUUCCAUUAUUGUCAAAACAAUAAAAAGUAUUGAUAAUUUGUCAAAAUUGUCAAAAUGUGCCAAUUUUUAGUCAAAAUUGCAAAAAUGUGCCAAUUUUUGGUCAAAAUUGCAAAAAUGUGCCAAUUUUUGGUCAAAAUAUUCAAAAGUGUCCAUUUUUUGUCAAAAUAGUCAAAAUGUGCCAAUUUUUGUAAAAAUAGUCAAAAAGUGUCAAUUUUUGUAAAAAUAGUCAAAAAGUGUCAAUUUUUGUCAAAAUAGUCAAAAAGUAUCAAUAUUAUGUCAAAGUAUUCAAAAUGUGCCAAUUUUUGGUAAAAUUGUCAACUUGUGCCAAUUUUUGGGCAAAAUUGUCAAAAAGUGCUAUUUUAGCCAAAGCAGUCAAAGUGUCAAAAUAGUCAAAAAGUGUCAAUUUUUGUCAAAAUAUUCAAAACUGCCAUUUUUGUCAAAAUUGUCAAAAGUGUCAAUUUUUGUCAAAAUUGUCAAAAUGUUUCCAUUUUAUGUCAAAACAAUCAAAAAGUAUAAAAAUAUUGUAGCCAAAGCAGUCAAAAUGUGUCAAUUUUUGGUCAAAAUAUUUAAAAGUGUCCAUUUUUGUCAAAAUAGUAAAAAUGUGCCAAUUUUUGUCAAAAUAGUCAAUAAGUGUCAAUUUUUGUCAAAAUAGUCAAUAAGUGUCAAUUUUUGUCAAAAUAGUCAAAAAAUAUCAAUAUUUUGUCAAAAUAUUCAAAAUGUGCCAAUUUUUGGUAAAAUUGUCAAAAUGUGCCAAUUUUUGGUAAAAUUGUCAAAAUGUGCCAAUUUUUGGUCAAAAUUGUCAAAAAGUGUUAUUUUAGCCAAAGCAGUCAACGUGUCAAAAUAGUCAAAAAGUGUCAAUUUUCGUCAAAAUAUUCAAAAGUGCCAUUUUUGUCAAAAUUGUCAAAAUGGUCAAAAGUGUCAAUUUUUGUCAAGAUAUUCAAAACUGCAUUUUUUGUCAAAAUUGUCAAAAUGUUUCCAUUAUUUGUAAGAACAAUCAAAAAGUAUAAAAAAUAUUGUAGCCAAAGCAGUCAAAAUGUGUCAAUUUUUGGUCAAAAUAUUUAAAAGUGUCCAUUUUUGUCAAAAUAGUAAAAAUGUGCCAAUUUUUGUCAAAAUAGUCAAUAAGUGUCAGUUUUUGUCAAAAUAUUCAAAAGUGUCCAUUUUUAUCAAAACAAUCAAAAAGUAUCAACAUUUUGUCAAAACCAUCAAAAAGUAUCAAUAUUUUGUCAAAUUAUUCAAAAUGUGCCAAUUUUUGGUCAAAAUUGUCAAAAAAUGCUAUUUUGGCAACAGCAAUCAAAAAGUGUCAAUUUUUGUCAAAAUAUUCAAAAGUAUUUUUGUCAUAAUAGUCAAAAUGUGCCAAUUUUUGUCAAAAUAGUCAAAAGUGUCAAUUUUUGUCAAAAUAUUCAAAAGUGCCAUUUUUGUCAAAAUUGUCAAAAUGUUUCCAUUUUUUGUAAAAACAAUCAAAAAGUAUAUAUAUUUUGUCAAAACAGUCUAAAAUGUGUCAAUUUUUGGUCAGAAUUGUCAAACAGUGCUAUUUUAGUCAAAGCAGUCAAAAAGUGUCAACUUUUGUCAAAAUAUUAAAGUGUCCAAUUUUAUCAAAACAGUCAAAAUGUGCCCAUUUUUGUCAAAAUUGUCAAAUUGUUUCCAUUUUUGUCAAAACAAUCAAAAAGUAUCAAUAUUUUGUCAAAAUAGUCAAAAUGUGCAAUUUUUGGUCAGCCAAAGCAGUCAAAAAGUGUCGAAAUAGUCAAAAAGUGUCAAUUUUUGUCAAAAUAUUGAAAAGUAUUAAUUUUGUCAAAAUAGUCAAAAUGUGUCAAUUUUUGGUCAAAAUUGUCAAACAGUGCUAUUUUUGCCAAAACAGUCAAAAAGUGUCAAUUUUUGUCAAAAUAUUCAAAAGUGUCAAUUUUUGUCAAAAUAUUCAAAAGUGUCCAUUUUUGUUAAAAUUGUCAAAAUAGUCAAAAAAUGUCAGUUUUUGUCAAAAUAUUCAAUGGUGUCCAUUUUUAUCAAAGCAGUCAAAAUGUGCCCAUUUUUGUCAAAAUUGUCAAAUUGUUUCCAUUUUUGUCCAAACAAUCAAAAAGUAUCAAUAUUUUGUCAAAUUAGGUUCUAACCACCUAAAACGGUCGAUAGGGUGUCCAAUAAGCAUCAACCACAAUCCUAGAUCCCAAAUUUCACAUUUCUCUUUUCCAUAGCGAUUCGAUGCUUCCGGAGAAAAUUGAAAAAUUGAUGGAGGCUCCAGAAUGACCCAAAAACUAUAGUAGUUAUUGAUGUACGAGUACCUAUACUUAUGGGAGUUGAAUUUGAGAAAAUAUUAUUCGAAUUUACUAUUUUUGAUAAAAAAAUUCAAAAUUCGUCCAGUUCUUUAAAAUUUUUAAAAAUUCAUUUUGAAUUUUCAAUCUCUCUUUCCCACUAAAAAAUCAACAUGAUUAAAUUAAAAUUCAAAAUUGAAAAAAAAAAAUUAUACUAGGUAGUCAGGUGAAAUCUCCGAAAUAAAUUAUGCUCAUUGAGAUAGUUGAAAAAUUCGUCAUGCAUUCCAAUCAAUCUUAAAACACGUAAUUCUCCAACAUCGAAUUUUUUGACUUUCCAGGAAAGUGAAAUUCUUCUACUUUUUCCAGUUUUCCAGAAACGGAUUCGGUUUUCCUUUUUUUAUUUUUUCUUAAGGAGGAGGGUGGGGGUGACUUUUUAAUAAAAUGUAUGAAAAUUCGAGUUGAUUUUUUUUUGGCAAUAAGUUGAUUUGCAGAUGAAGUCGAGUUUUUAGAAAUAAGUCUAAAUUUUUUAUUAUAAGUAGGGUCAUUUAUGAGAUAAGGUAUAAAUUAGACUAUUUAUUUGCAAUACUCGCAUAGUAAAUUAUUCUUUUAAGAUGUACCUAUACUCAUACUUCCUACUCAUUAUGCUUACAUAUAUCACUAUUUUAAACUGUUUUCAUUCACGUUUCGAAAUUUAUUUAUCCAUUUAUGUAAUGUACACAUUUACUUCAUUUAUAUAACCUUAUCUAGAUACAUAUUUAAGAAUAAUAAGUGUACCUAGUCAGGUGAAAUUUCUGAAAUAAAUGCGAUGCUCAUCAAGAAGUUCGAAAAAUUCGUCAUGCAUUCCGAUUAAUCUUAAAACCGGUAUUUUUCCUAUAGUGAUUUUUCAAACAUCGAAUUUUUUCGCGACGUGACUUCUUGCACACCAUCUAGGUAAAUACUCGGGUACUUAUCUAGAUAUGUACGUUCGGAUUUUGAUGCAGUACGAGUAGAUUAAAAAAAGAAAACCACAACAUGAAUCAUGAUCAACCUCGCACUAGUGUCGAAUUUGCUCCCUCAAAAAAACCCACACAAAUGUCCCAGAUUUGUACCUACGUGCCAAACAUCAUGCAUUUUCAAACGGUAAUAAUUACUCGUAAGUAGUAAAAGUGUUCCAAUAUCGAGAAAUUUUUCAGUAUUUCUACAUAUUACACAUUUUAAAUUAUCAACUAUACGCGAUGAUUUCCUUAUGCAGCGGCAGUUCUUAUUCUGCGAAAACGGAAGUUGAGAAUCGAGCAAUAUCCAACCCACGAGUACACAAAAUUCGUCAUCCAAUAUCUUCUUCUCGGAAAACUCAUCACUUCAAUUCAUACGAAGCAAUCGAGAAAAUUUCCAAAUCGGAUGAAUCUCCACCCUCACCACAUCUUCAAACGUGGUUCUUGAAGGUUGAACCAAUUAAUGACGAAGAUGAUAAAAAUGAUACAAUUUCCAUACAUUUUCGCCGAGCAAAAGAAGACCAUUCCAAAAACGAGAAAAAUAUCCCCGUUAUUCAACAAUCGAAAUCAAAGGAGGUCGUAGAGACGAAGAAAAGCAACUUCCAUAAUGCAGAUCCAGCCAAUAUCGAGGUAGACGACUACUCAGAAUGGUCCCGUUCUGUACAGAAGUCAGAUUGUGAUCAUUUAGUUCAUAAAGUAUUCACUCGUGGUAUUUCUGUUCAUAGUCAACAUAACAAAACACUGCAACAUGAAGCUAAUGCCAUAAAUAUGUUCACAAAUUUGUACAAAAAUCUGCAAGGAUUCAUAGGAUAGUUCACCAAAUUGAGAUCAGAAUUUUCAAACAUGGACCCAAAUAAUGAACAACGAUGAAUUCAAGAUUUUAGAACCCUUGAUAAAAAUACAACACUCAAUCUCAUAAUGCAAAAAAAAUACCCGAAGAAAGCUACGACCAACAUUUGCCCAAUAGACAAACAAUAAUUGCUUCAAGACGUUGGGAAUUUGCGCACGUAUGAUAUUUUGGUGGUUCGUUUUAUUACGUGUCGAGUUUUUGGAAGAUUUUCGAGUAAAAUUACACUUGGCAAGAACGAGUAAU